GGAGAAGUGUCAGAGUGGUCGAAUGUGUUUGAUUUGAAAUCAGAUGAACUUAAUUGUUCCGUGGGUUCGAAUCCCACCUUCUCUU
rnacentral:tRNA from 1 species